UGCAAUCUGGGUACCGGCUACCUGAUGGAACCUUGAUGUCUCCAUAUGGGCCACAGAGGUCUAGUGCUCCAUCCUCCCCGAUGCUGGGUAAUGCUCUCCAAAACCAGCAGCUUCGUGGAGCCUCAUACACCCUGCCGGAUGGAAGGGUUUUCAGGGACCCAUAUCAGCCCACUUCUCCUAAUCUCUCUGGAGCUCUCAGGAACCCAAAUGUCAGAAACGCCUCCUACACUCUCCCAGACGGCACCAUCGCAGACCCGAGGCAACGGAUGCCCAUGUCACCCAACUUGGCGCGGGCCCUGAACAACCCGGCGGUCCGCAGGGCGUCCUACUCCCUCCCGGACGGGACCAUCAUGAUCGACCCCAACCAGGCCUCGUCCCCGAGUCUCACGGCGGCCCUCCAGAACCCCUACCUCAAGAGUGCGGCGUACACUCUCCCCGACGGCACCAUCAUCAUCGACCCGCGGAAACCCCUCUCCCCCAACCUGUCCGGGGCGCUGCAGAACUCGGCCCUGAAGAGCGCCUCCUAUAAACUCCCGGACGGGACGGUGAUCACCGACCCCAACGCUCCCAUCUCACCCAACCUGGCGAGGGCCCUCAACAACCCGGCCUUGAGAGGUGCAACAUUGACCCUCCCAGACGGGACCCUUCUAGUGGAUCCCAGGAAACCAAAGUCUCCCGUCCUGUCCGCUGCCCUCAAGAACCCCUACAUCAUGGGGGCCUCCUACACCCUCCCAGACGGCUCC
rnacentral:lncRNA from 1 species